AUGGAGAGUUUGAUCCUGGCUCAGGAUCAACGCUGGCGGCGUGCCUAAUGCAUGCAAGUCGAACGGCGCUCCUUUUGGGGUGCAGUGGCAGACGGGUGCGGAACACGUGGGUGACCUAUCCGCUUCUGGGGGAUACCCGCCCGAAAGGGUGGUUAAUACCGCAUGAGCUCACUUCUGGGCCGACGGGAGUGAGGAAAGGCGUGAGCUGGGAGCGGCGGGGCCUGCGGCCGAUUAGCUCGUUGGUGGGGUAAUGGCCUACCAAGGCGACGAUCGGUAGCCGGUCUGAGAGGACGGCCGGCCACACGGGGACUGGGAGACGGCCCCGACUCCUACGGGAGGCAGCAGCAAGGAAUUUUGGGCAAUGGGGGCAACCCUGACCCAGCGACGCCGCGUGGGGGAAGACGGCCUUCGGGUUGUAAACCCCUUUUCUUGGUGACGAAGGUGACGGUAGCCAAGGAAGAAGCCCCGGCUAACUACGUGCCAGCAGCCGCGGUAAUACGUAGGGGGCGAGCGUUGUCCGGAAUUACUGGGCGUAAAGCGCACGUAGGUGGUUGUCUAAGAUGGGUGUGAAAUCCCCGGGCUCACCUCGGGGGGGUCAUCCGUGACUGGGCGACUUGGGUCUGGUAGAGGCGUGUGGAAUUCCCGGUGGAGCGGUGAAAUGCGUAGAGAUCGGGAGGAACACCAGUGGCGGAGGCGACACGCUGGGCCAUGACCGACGCUGAGGUGCGAAAGCGUGGGGAGCGAACCGGAUUAGAUACCCGGGUAGUCCACGCCCUAAACGAUGGGUACUAGGCGUGGGGGGUAUCGACCCCCUCCGUGCCGGAGCUAACGCGCGAAGUACCCCGCCUGGGGAGUACGGCCGCAAGGUUGAAACUCAAAGGAAUUGACGGGGGCCCGCACAAGCAGCGGAGCGUGUGGUUUAAUUCGACGCAACGCGCAGAACCUUACCAGGGCUUGACAUGCCGGUUACCGCACGGGAAACCGUGUUCCCGCAAGGGGUCUGGCACAGAUGCUGCAUGGCUGUCGUCAGCUCGUGCCGUGAGGUGUCGGGUUAAGUCCCGCAACGAGCGCAACCCCUGCGGCUAGUUGAGUGUCUAGCCGGACUGCCCCCGCAAGGGGGAGGAAGGCGGGGAUGACGUCAAGUCAGCACGGCUCUUACGUCCUGGGCUACACACACGCUACAAUGGGCGCGACAAUGGGCGGCGAAGCCGCGAGGUGGAGCGAAUCCCUGAAAGGCGUCCUCAGUUGGGAUUGCAGGCUGCAACUCGCCUGCAUGAACGUGGAGUUGCUAGUAACCGCCGGUCAGCACUACGGCGGUGAAUACGUUCCCGGGCCUUGUACACACCGCCCGUCACGUCAUGAAAGCUGGCAACACCUGAAGUCGCUGGGCCAACCCGUGUGGGAGGCAGGCGCCGAGGGUGGGGCUGGUGAUUGGGACGAAGUCGUAACAAGGUAGCCGUAGCGGAAGCUGCGGCUGGAUCACCUCCUUU
rnacentral:rRNA from 1 species